GGAUAUAGUACAGCUCAGUAGUAGAGUGUGUGUUUAGCAUGCACAAGGUCCUGAGUUCAAUCCCCAGUACCUCCA
rfam:Camelus ferus unplaced genomic scaffold scaffold740, whole genome shotgun sequence.